rnacentral:ncRNA from 1 species
ACGCAGGGGAGCUUGUAGGCAGGCUGAGAGGAAGUCAUCAACUUCGACCCUUAAACCUGAUUUGGAUAAUGCCAACGUAGGAAAGCAAAGUGAUU